CCUACGGGAGGCAGCAGUGGGGAAUAUUGCACAAUGGGGGGAACCCUGAUGCAGCGACGCCGCGUGAGUGAAGAAGUAUUUCGGUAUGUAAAGCUCUAUCAGCAGGGAAGAAAAUGACGGUACCUGACUACUAAGCCCCGGCUAACUACGUGCCAGCAGCCGCGGUAAUACGUAGGGGGCAAGCGUUAUCCGGAUUUACUGGGUGUAAAGGGAGCGUAGACGGCUGUGCAAGUCUGGAGUGAAAGGCGGGGGCCCAACCCCCGGACUGCUCUGGAAACUGUAAAGCUGGAGUGCAGGAGAGGUAAGCGGAAUUCCUAGUGUAGCGGUGAAAUGCGUAGAUAUUAGGAGGAACACCAGUGGCGAAGGCGGCUUACUGGACUGCAACUGACGUUGAGGCUCGAAAGCGUGGGGAGCAAACAGGAUUAGAUACCCGAGUAGUC
rnacentral:rRNA from 1 species